AGACCCGAAACCCGGUGAUCUAGCCAUGGGCAGGUUGAAGGUUGGGUAACACUAACUGGAGGACCGAACCGACUAAUGUUGAAAAAUUAGCGGAUGACCUGUGGCUGGGGGUGAAAGGCCAAUCAAACCGGGAGAUAGCUGGUUCUCCCCGAAAGCUAUUUAGGUAGCGCCUCGUGAAUUCAUCUCCGGGGGUAGAGCACUGUUUCGGCUAGGGGGCCAUCCCGGCUUACCAACCCGAUGCAAACUGCGAAUACCGGAGAAUGUUAUCACGGGAGACACACGGCGGGUGCUAACGUCCGUCGUGAAGAGGGAAACAACCCAGACCGCCAGCUAAGGUCCCAAAGUCAUGGUUAAGUGGGAAACGAUGUGGGAAGGCCCAGACAGCCAGGAUGUUGGCUUAGAAGCAGCCAUCAUUUAAAGAAAGCGUAAUAGCUCACUGGUCGAGUCGGCCUGCGCGGAAGAUGUAACGGGGCUAAACCAUGCACCGAAGCUGCGGCAGCGAACGUAUCACUUAAAGCGAUUCAGCGGGUUACGAUUGACGGAGCGAAGCGACGUCAAAGCGUAUACAAAGUCGAGUCGGUUUAAGGAUACGUUCGUUGGGUAGGGGAGCGUUCUGUAAGCCUGCGAAGGUGGCCUGUGAGGGUUGCUGGAGGUAUCAGAAGUGCGAAUGCUGACAUAAGUAACGAUAAAGCGGGUGAAAAGCCCGCUCGCCGGAAGACCAAGGGUUCCUGUCCAACGUUAAUCGGGGCAGGGUGAGUCGACCCCUAAGGCGAGGCCGAAAGGCGUAGUCGAUGGGAAACGGGUUAAUAUUCCCGUACUUGGUGUUACUGCGAAGGGGGGACGGAGAAGGCUAUGUUGGCCGGGCGACGGUUGUCCCGGUUUAAGCGUGUAGGCUGGUUUUCCAGGCAAAUCCGGAAAAUCAAGGCUGAGGCGUGACGACGAGGCACUACGGUGCUGAAGCAACAAAUGCCCUGCUUCCAGGAAAAGCCUCUAAGCAUCAGGUAACACGAAAUCGUACCCCAAACCGACACAGGUGGUCAGGUAGAGAAUACCAAGGCGCUUGAGAGAACUCGGGUGAAGGAACUAGGCAAAAUGGUGCCGUAACUUCGGGAGAAGGCACGCUGACACG
rnacentral:rRNA from 1 species